ensembl:snoRNA
ACCAAGACUUGACUCAUAUUCUGAGUAUCCAGGUGUGCUAGAGCACUUGCAGAGAAUCCGCUGGUCUUGAAUCACUGGUGGGGGUAAUCGCUGCCCAGGUUAGAAACACGC